rfam:Erinaceus europaeus unplaced genomic scaffold scaffold00101, whole genome shotgun sequence
GGAUGUGAGGGCGAUCUGGCUGCGACAUCUGUCACCUGACUGAUCGCCAGGGUUGACUGGGCUCAUCUGGCUGGCUAGGCCAGUGUCCCCUUCCUCCUUCACUGCCCCACGUGUGUCUCUCCAGAAGCUGAGCACUCUGUCAAAGAGGAUGACCAUCCCUCAAUAUAGCCAGUUCCCUGCUGGAACCUCCAAAAAAGCUCUCAAGAUCAACUUAACAACAGCUCACAAAACAUUAGAGAGAUGUGAAACAAGUCUUAACUCAUCCUUGUUUUGCUCAUUAAAAUUCUA